rnacentral:rRNA from 1 species
GACGAACGCUGGCGGCGUGCCUAAUACAUGCAAGUAGAACGCUGAAGGAGGAGCUUGCUCUUCUGGAUGAGUUGCGAACGGGUGAGUAACGCGUAGGUAACCUGCCUGGUAGCGGGGGAUAACUAUUGGAAACGAUAGCUAAUACCGCAUAACAGUAGAUGUUGCAUGACAUUUGCUUAAAAGGUGCAAUUGCACCACUACCAGAUGGACCUGCGUUGUAUUAGCUAGUUGGUGGGGUAACGGCUCACCAAGGCGACGAUACAUAGCCGACCUGAGAGGGGGAGCGGCCACACUGGGACUGAGACACGGCCCAGACGCCUACGGGAGGCAGCAGUAGGGAAUCUUCGGCAAUGGACGGAAGUCUGACCGAGCAACGCCGAGUGAGUGAAGAAGGUUGUCGGAUCGUAAAGCUCUGUUGUAAGAGAAGAACGAGUGUGAGAGUGGAAAGUUCACACUGUGACGGUAUCUUACCAGAAAGGGACGGCUAACUACGUG